rnacentral:rRNA from 1 species
AUGUUUCCAGUGACGGGUUCGCCAAAAUGCGUUGCUUUCCGAUCAAAGCAUGCCCGCAAGUACCUAGGUAGCGUGCAUGCAGGCAACGAGGAGAGCCGCGGCGGAGACAGGUUCUUCGAGGAGCUGAGCGACGGCGCCGAUGACGUCGAUGUCCUUGCAAGCCCGUACACUAGAUUCUACCUGGAGCCCUCCAAGGAGCACGACGGGCUACUGCACGUCAGGUGCUGCCACAACAACAAGUACUGGGUGGCCAAACAUGGCGGUGAAGGCAGCGGCCACUGGACCAUCGGCAUCGUCAAUGAACCGGACGACGACCUGUCCAAGCCGUCAUGCACGCUUUUUGAGCCCGUCCCUCUCACGGACGGGGACAAUAAUCUAUCCAUCAGGUUCUUCCGUCCCCAGCAGACAACAAGCUCUGAAUCUGAUAUGACCAAGGAAAGGGGACAAGAAGAAGCCUACCUGCAUCUGGGAACUGGAGUUGAUCAAGUGAAAUCUCUUCAUGAUUUCUCCGCCAUUGAUCUGUCAAAGCAAUUGGUACUCCCCAAAUACGUUGCUUUUAAAGGCGACAAUGACAUGUACCUCCGGGCGAGGAUCAUCCAGAAACACAAUUACUUGGAAUUCUCAUCAUCUGAUAUUGCAGAUUCAACUGUGGUCAACACUAUUUUCCCCAACUGCGCUAAUGGGAACGUGCGCAUAAAAUCUAACCACUUCAAUAGGUUUUGGAGGCUCAGCCCCAACUGGAUCUGGGCUGACUCCGCCGACAGCAGCAGCAGAGACCGUGACACGCUCUUCAGGGUGGUCAUGUUGCCCGACUACAUCGGUCUCCAGAACCUGGGAAACUCCAGGUACUGUAAGAGGCUAACUGCAGACAGGAAGACAAGCUGCCUUAACGCCGCCGUCGAUACCAUCACACUUGAAGCAAGGUUACGGGUGGAAGAAGCCGUACUUUCGCGAGAGAUCUAUGGCGUGGAGUUCAAGCUCUCCGAAGCUAGGAUCUACGAUGAGAAGCCUCUUACCUAUCCCAGCAUGACUUCAACCAAUGACACCAACGAACUACAUGCCAAGACCCUGACCCUGAAAUACGAGGAGACGCAGGCCAAGACCUGGAGCUCGACUGUUAGCCUCAAGAUCGGUGUCACUGCCAAGUUAAGAGCCGGGAUCCCGGUCAUAGCAGAAGGGAAGGUUGAGGUAUCCACUGAAUUCAACUCAGAAUACGAGUGGGGGUCAUCCAUUCAGACAACGGCGUCAAAAGAGGCCUCCUAUCAGGCUGUGGUGCUUCCGAUGACCAAGGUGACAAUCAGAGCGGCUGUGACUCAGGGUUCUGUGGACGUCCCGUUCUCCUACACUCAGAGGGACAUUCUGACCACAGGAGAGGUUGUUACCUACAAGAUGGACGACGGCCUGUUCACUGGUAUGAACAACUAUAAUUUCCAAUUUGAAACCACACAAGAGCCCAUUUGA